GGCCAUAUCACAUUGAAUACUGGUUCUUGUCAGAUCACCGAAGUUAAGCAAUGUUGAGCUUGAUUAGUAUCUAGAUGAGUGACCACUUGCAAAUACCAAGUGCAGUA